GUGGGGAAUCUUGCGCAAUGGGCGAAAGCCUGACGCAGCCAUGCCGCGUGAAUGAUGAAGGUCUUAGGAUUGUAAAAUUCUUUCACCGGGGAAGAUAAUGACGGUACCCGGAGAAGAAGCCCCGGCUAACUUCGUGCCAGCAGCCGCGGUAAUACGAAGGGGGCUAGCGUUGCUCGGAAUUACUGGGCGUAAAGGGCGCGUAGGCGGACAUUUAAGUCAGAGGUGAAAGCCCAGGGCUCAACCUUGGACUUGCCUUUGAUACUGGAUGUCUUGAGUUCGGGAGAGGUGAGUGGAAUGCCGAGUGUAGAGGUGAAAUUCGUAGAUAUUCGGCGGAACACCAGUGGCGAAGGCGACUCACUGGCCCGAUACUGACGCUGAGGCGCGAAAGCGUGGGGAGCAAACAGGAUUAGAUACCCGGGUAGUCC
rnacentral:rRNA from 1 species